AGUGGCAUCAGUUUCUUCUCUAAGGAACUCUCUUUCCAAAGAGACUGUCCUAUUACUGACGAACAUCUUUUAUUCUUCUGCGAGAUAGAAAUAGUAUCUUUUUAUUUUCUUUAGGUAUCCUACAAAUAAAUAUUUGUCAGACCUGAGUCCAAGCUUAUCUAUCUUUAAGCAUUUGACAUAAGUCGGACAUCCCCAAAUCUUAAGGUAUGAGAGUACUGAC
rnacentral:lncRNA from 1 species